rnacentral:lncRNA from 1 species
UCCCUAACACUAGUUACUGUACAAAAAACCAAGCUCUCUCGGCCUGCUAGUUUAUCCUCCAGGAUGACUUGAUUUGAUGCCCCCAUGGAAACCAGAGUUCACUCCAACCUGGAGAAAAACGCCGGCAUCGGCUUCCACAACAGUCAUGUUGAAAACAACAUUGUUUCUGACAGAUAUCUAGGAUUUGAACUGAGCUUGAACUUGACUAUAGAAAGCAGGCAUACCUGUUCCAGAAAGCAGCAUUUCUUUUUUAGAAUUUUUAAUUUAUGAGUUUAAACUAGUUUCCCACUCUGUGUCUAAAGCCUCACCUCUCUGCUAUGCAGUUUAAUCCCACACAGGGCAAUUAAUCUCUCUUUCAGGCAGCAUUUAAAAGCAAACAAUUCAUUCUGCAAGUGAUAUUGUGUUGCUUGGGAUAUGAAUACAAAUCUAAAAAGCUUCUAUUUAUUGUCUUACUUAGGAAAUCCAAUCACUCACCCAACAAAUAUUAAUUAAGCAUCUACUAUAUUCAAAGCAUUCCACUUCCUAAGAAACUAGGACAUUAUGGGCUGAGAUGACCAGGAAAAAACUUCUUUGAAGGCCUCCAGAAUGCUGUCAAGUAGAACCAGUAGAAGAGGACACACCAGGAAGACUUAAUGAAAAAGGCACGUUGGCAAAAUAGGGCAAGCAUUUCAGAGGAUGGAAAUUAGUACUCUCUGCUCUGAGUACAGGGACAGGGGAGGGAGGUAAGGAGAGGGAGACACAUCACGAAGAUCGUGUCCUUUGUGGCAAAGCAAAAGAGCGUAUGUUUUAUUUGGUAGGCAACGAGGAACCACUGAUUACCACGAUCAGAUUGAUAAUUAAGAAAUUAAAUGGUAAUUAAGAAAAAUCAUUCUGACAUCAGUGUGGAAGAUGGAUGCAAAGAGAAUUCGAGGGGACCAAACCUAGAAUCUAAUGAACUAAAACAGAUGAUGAGCUGUGGGACCAGAACAGAGGAAACGUGUAUGGGAGACACAAGAAGCAGGCAGUGUGUUAACAUGUACCAAGCUCAUCCUAACGACAAGUGGGAAUUCAAAAGCCAGCUGGAACUAUAAAUGCUGAACCUCUAAAAGGAACUGAGGCAUGAAGGUCCUCUACCAUGAUCAGCUCUUCUUCACAUUCUGGCAGAGGGAAAUACCAACCAAGGCCUUUGGAGAUUGAAUGGUCAAUCUUGAAAUAAUCAAAGCCUAGCUGCUUGGAACAAGGGAGCGAAACUUUUCCUAAUGCCAUUAACAUUUCCCUCCAUCCAAAUAUGAAAAAUGGGCCCAUUUAUUAUUUAUCAUCUUUCUAUCUGAUAUUUCACCUGCUGCCAACACAGCUAAAUCCAGCCAAGCUCCCCCCAUGGCAGACCCAGAGGCAGAUGAUCCCAGCAAAGCAGAAUCAUCACACCCAGGGAACCAGAUGGGUGACCUUUCUCUCUCCUGCUCUCCAGACUUGAGAACAGACAGUCAAAAUCUCUAGGUGGCUCAGAUCUUUGCUUCUAUAAAUUAAAAUGUAUAUUUUCC